UACGUAGGUGGCAAGCGUUGUCCGGAUUUACUGGGCGUAAAGAGCGCGCAGGCGGUCGUUCAAGUCGCGUGUGAAAGCCCCCGGCUCAACUGGGGAGGGUCACGCGAUACUGAUCGACUCGAAGGCAGGAGAGGGUAGUGGAAUUCCCGGUGUAGUGGUGAAAUGCGCAGAUAUCAGGAGGAACACCGGUGGCGAAGGCGGCAUCCUGGACCGGUAUUGACGCUGAGGCGCGAAAGCUAGGGGAGCAAACGGG
rnacentral:rRNA from 1 species